rnacentral:rRNA from 1 species
AAUAUUGGACAAUGGGGGCAACCCUGAUCCAGCCAUGCCGCGUGUGUGAAGAAGGUCUUCGGAUUGUAAAGCACUUUAAGUUGGGAAGAAGGGCUGUAGGUUAAUACCCUGAAGUUUGGACGUUACCAACAGAAUAAGCACCGGCUAACUCUGUGCCAGCAGCCGCGGUAAUACCGCAGGUGAAAGCGUUAAUCGGAAUUACUGGUCGUAAAGCGCGCGGAGGUGGGUCAGUAAGAUGGGUGUGAAAUCCCCGGGCUUAACCUGGGAACUGCUUUCAUAACUGCUGAGCUAGAGUACGGUAGAGGGUAGUGGAAUUUCCUGUGUAGCGGUGAAAUGCGUAGAUAUAGGAAGGAACACCAGUGGCGAAGGCGACUACCUGGACUGAUACUGACACUGAGGUGCGAAAGCGUGGGGAGCAAAC